AGUGAACGCUGGCGGUAGGCCUAACACAUGCAAGUCGAACGGCAGCACAGGAGAGCUUGCUCUCUGGGUGGCGAGUGGCGGACGGGUGAGGAAUACAUCGGAAUCUACUCUGUCGUGGGGGAUAACGUAGGGAAACUUACGCUAAUACCGCAUACGACCUACGGGUGAAAGCAGGGAUCUUCGGACCUUGCGCUAUUGACUGAGCCGAUGUCGGAUUAGCUAGUUGGCGGGGUAAAGGCCCGCCAAGGCGACGAUCCGUAGCUGGUCUGAGAGGAUGAUCAGCCACACUGGAACUGAGACACGGUCCAGACUCCUAUGGGAGGCAGCAGUGGGGAAUAUUGGACAAUGGGCGCAAGCCUGAUCCAGCCAUACCGCGUGGGUGAAGAAGGCCUUCGGGUUGUAAAGCCCUUUUGUUGGGAAAGAAAUCCAGCUGGCUAAUACCCGGUUGGGAUGACGGUACCCAAAGAAUAAGCACCGGCUAACUUCGUGCCAGCCGCCGCAGUAA
rnacentral:rRNA from 1 species